GCUUUGUGGUCCAGCGGUAAGGACACUUGCCUGUCACCCUGGAGUCCCAGGUUCGAUCCCCGAACGAGGAGCG